rnacentral:sRNA from 1 species
GCUGGGUGUGGUGGUGCACAUCUGUGAUCCCAGCUACUGGGAGGUGAAGAAAGGAGAGUUACUUGAGCCCAGGAGUUUUUGGCCAGUCUAGGCAAAACAACGAGAGCCUAUCUUAA